UGAUGAUUUUAGUCGAAAGACAUGGGUCUAUUUUCUAAAAGAGAAGUCAGAAGUCUUUGGAAUGUUCCAGAAGUUCAAAGCGUUUGUGGAGAAUCAAAGUGGUCUCACCAUAAAGGCAAUGAGAUCCGAUCGUGGAGGAGAGUUCACAUCCAAGGAAUUCAAGGAAUUUUGCGACAAUAAUGGCUUACGACGUCCUCUAACUCUUCAGUAUUCACCUCAGCAAAAUGGUGUUGCAGAAAGAAAGAAUAAGACCAUCCUUGAUAUGGCUCGGAGUAUGUUAAAGAGCAAAAGGAUGCCUAAGGAGUUUUGGGUCGAGGCAGUGGACUGUGCGAUCUAUCUAGCAAAUCGCUCGCCCACUAAAAGCGUUAAGAACAAAACGCCUAUUGAAGCUUGGAGUGGAAGGAAGCCCGGCAUCUCACACCUACGAGUGUUCAGAAGUUUGGCAUAUGCUCAUGUGCCAGAUCAGAAGAGGACGAAGCUCGAUGAUAAGCGAGAAGCUCAUAUUCGUGGGCUAUGGCUCAAGUUCGAAGGGUUACAAGCUAUACAAUCCCAAGACCGGUAAAGUAAUCUCAAGUCAAAACGUGGUGUUCGAUGAAGAAGCAACAUGGGAUUGGAAUGUUCCCGAAGAGGAGAACUACGAUUUUCUCCCUUAUCCGUUCGAGAGUACUAUAAGAAGUUUUGGGCCGAGUCAGUGGACUGUGCGAUCUAUCUAGAAAAUCGCUCGCCCACUAAAAGCGUCAAGAAAAAAAUGCCCAUUGAAGCUUGGAGUGGAAGGAAGCCCACCAUCUCACACCUACGAGUGUUCGGAAGUGUGGCAUAUGCUCAUGUGCCAGAUCAGAAGAGGACGAAGCUCGAUGA
rnacentral:lncRNA from 1 species